rnacentral:lncRNA from 1 species
CAAGUGAACCUCACCAAGGUUCUGUCACCAAGGACGGUUCUAUCACCAAGGACGGCUCUAUCACCAAGGAUGGACAUAGGGCACUUGUCUCAGAUAUGUUUUAUUUGAGGAAACAACCAGGCAUCCAAUCUAGCCUUGAAGACAGAAGACUGCAGGAGAGGAAAGAGCUAAGAGCCAGAAAUGCCUGGAUGAGAAUGCUGUACUGAAAAAGAUAAACAGGGCUGAGCAGUCUUCAAAGCUUGCAAGGAAAGCAGUGGGUUAUAUCUUGGCCUAUUAAAGGUCCUUGGAGACUUCUGACCGCCUGUCAAGAGAACUGAGAAUCACAUUCGCUCUAGAAAGAGAACUGAGGCUGUUCAACACGCUGGCUUUGUUCAGUGUUGAACUUGGUUUGGUGGUGAUGGGAUCAGGCUCUCUCAAAGGGAG